rnacentral:rRNA from 2 species
AAGCGGUUGAUCCUGCCGGACCUGACUGCUAUCGGAUUGAUACUAAGCCAUGCGAGUCUGUGCAGUAAUGCAAGGCAUACGGCUCAGUAACACGUAGUCAACUUACCCUAUGGACGAGGAUAAUCUCGGGAAACUGAGCAUAAUACUCGAUAGAUCAUAAUGCCUGGAAUGGUUUAUGGUUGAAAUGAUUCGUCGCCAUAGGAUGGGACUGCGGCCUAUCAGCUUGUUGGUGAGGUAAUGGCCCACCAAGGCGAUUACAGGUACGGGCUCUGAGAGGAGAAGCCCGGAGAUGGGUACUGAGACAAGGACCCAGGCCCUAUGGGGCGCAGCAGGCGAGAAAACUUUGCAAUGUGCGAAAGCACGACAAGGUUAAUCCGAGUCAUUUCUGCUAAAGUUAUCUUUUGCAAGUCAUAAAACCACUAGUGAAUAAGGGGUGGGCAAGUUCUGGUGUCAGCCGCCGCGGUAAAACCAGCACCUCAAGUGGUCAGGAGGAUUAUUGGGCCUAAAGCAUCCGUAGCCGGCUCUGUAAGUUCACGGUUAAAUCCAUGUGCUCAACGCAUGGGCUGCCGAAAAUACUGCAUAGCUAGGGAGUGGGAGAGGUAGACGGUACUCGGUAGGAAGGGGUAAAAUCCUUUGAUCUAUCGAUGACCACCUGUGGCGAAGGCGGUCUACCAGAACACGUUCGACGGUGAGGGAUGAAAGCUGGGGGAGCAAACCGGAUUAGAUACCCGGGUAGUCCCAGCUGUAAACGAUGCAGACUCGAUGAUGCAUUGGCAUAUAGCCAGUGCAGUGUCGCAGGGAAGCCGUUAAGUCUGCCGCCUGGGAAGUACGUACGCAAGUAUGAAACUUAAAGGAAUUGGCGGGGGAGCACCACAAGGGGUGAAGCCUGCGGUUCAAUUGGAGUCAACGAGCUG